UUUGAACUGCUGCGUAAAUCGGUUUCCUAUUUAAAAACUAAGCGGUAGAUUCGAGGCCACGUAGAAAAGGAUUGUGUUGAAACUUCGGCAUUGAACUGUUAUUGAUGAAACCUCGUUUUUGGAAUGGCGGAUAUAAAUCCUUGCGGAAUUUAGAGCGCUUAAUGUGUCAUUUACACGGAUUUGUUGCUGGGCUGCACGUAUUACAGACGUCAAGGAGACGCCGUGGACAUCAUGGAGCACAGGUCUGGCCAUUAUCUCAGUAAGACCACAAGAUGGAGGUACAACUCAACAAAAAAGCGGCAGCGACUCUUACCCGUAGGUCCUCAGUCAUGUGCAGAAGCUCCUCUCUCAGACUGCUGAAGGUGGAGAGCAGCAGGC